CGCAUCAUCGAUGCAUCUGCGAAGAAGCUGCAUAUUGCGCCGCAGAAAGUGGUGCUCACUGUCGACCGUCACGGAAACACCUCGGCAGCGUCGAUCCCCCUCGCGCUCGCGGCUGCGGCCGACGACGGACGUAUCAAGAAGAACGAUCUUUUGAUGCUGGAAGCCAUGGGAGGCGGCUUCACCUGGGGAUCGGCGCUAUUGCGCUGGUGAGUCUUUUGCUAAAGUCUGUCGAU
rnacentral:misc_RNA from 1 species